rnacentral:ribozyme from 1 species
AUUGCAAGUUCAAAGCCACAGCAGAAGCACUCACAGCAUGGCUCUGUCAGAUUCCAAUGAAUCUGCAAAUUUUACU